AUGUCCGGUCCGAUUGCUCGUGUUAGCUUCUCCGACAUGCCACUUCUUGCUUCCCUUGACUUUUCCACAAACUCCCUGACUGGGUGGCUCCCGACUAGCCUCGCCGGCUGUGGUGAGCUCAAGUCGCUCAACCUUGCCAACAAUAUAUUGGUCGGCACCAUCCCGUCGUGGAUUGGUGAGUUUGACAACCUUUGGUACUUGAAUCUCUCAAAUAAUUCAUUUGUUGGCGAGGUACCCAAGAGUUUGUUACGGCUCACUGGCCUCGCCGCCACGGGUCGUUCAUUGGGUAUGGUUUUCACUAACAUGCCCUCUUUCGUAAAUUACGAAAGAAGAGCACUCGAUGAACAACCAAAUACCAUAACUGGGACCAACAACACAGUGAGAUCUGGGCGCAACAACACCAUGUCUGAAAACGACAACAUUGUCAUGUCCGGAGACAGCAACACUGUGUCCGGGAGCUUCAACACCCUUGUAUGUGGGGACAACAAUGUUCUAACUGGUGAUCACCAUGUCGUAUCUAGGAGCAACCAUAUUGUAACUAACAGCUACAAUAAAGUAUCUGGGUGCACCAAUAAUGUAUCCGGCAGCCACCAUACCGUAUCCGGUAGCAACAAUGCCGUAUCUGGGAGCAACAAUACGGUAUCUGGGAGCAAUCAUGUCGUAUCCGGGAGCAACAAAAUCGUAACUGACGAUUAAUGAUCUGUCAGUGGAUUGAUUCCAUCCUCGAGAACGAGAUCCCGGAGCACAUCAGAGACUCGUGAGAAGAAGUUCUUCACCCAGAACCGAAAACCUAGGUACAUGGACCCCCAUAUCUUGUUCCAAGCUGGGAGGGCACCAUAAAGACCUUUUGUAUCUUUUACUGUUUUUAGCAUAUUUAAAUUUCCGCAACUAUAUACAUCCGUAUAUAGUCCAUGCGGAAAUUUCUAAAAGGGCUUAUAUUUAGAAACGGAGGAAGUUGUAUGUAUUUCCGUGCUUGCAAUAUUAGUGUUAACUUCCAGCCUACAAUGAGAAUUAUAUCAAAUGAUGCACUCGUCGUUUUUUGAUGAAUGUCUUUGUUACAGCUUCUGGUUAUUGUUAUUAGAUGUGUGACUCCUGUUGAAUGAUCCCUUACUUGAUAGUUUCGAAUUGGCCGCUAUUCAACACCAUUAGUGCUAAUUGUCAACAACAGCUUAUUCUUUGCCGAUAGAUACAAAUUGUGAGGUGGGGAAGUGGGUACAGACCGAAGUUGGGUAGGAAGCUGUUGUUGCUAGGUUACGACGAGGCUGUGGCAGUGCAUUGUUCAUAUACAGAUGGGUUGGACGUUAGCAUGUACCCACUUGCAUGAGCUGCACUUGACCUGACUUGGACAGGUUUUGGGAGAGAUGGAUUGCAGCACCCGAGCUCCACUGCUCUCUAUAUUUAAACAUUUUAAAAUUUGUAUUUUUGAAAUUUCAAAAAAAAUGUGAAUUUUUCGCAGGGAUACAUAUACACAUUCCGAAUACAGAAAAAAAAAUUCAGCUUCCGAAUACAAUUUUUUUGCAGGGAUACAUAUACACAUUCCGAAUACAAAUUUUUCGCAAGUUCCUGUAGAAAUCUCGUUUUGUUUUGGGCUACAGAAAAAGAUAAUUUCUGACACUAUAUAGGAGAAAAGGUGUGCCAUUUUCUGUCAGAAAUUUAUCUUUUUUGUAUUUCCCAAAAUAAAAAGUAUUUCUUUUUCAGCUUUUUACCAGGCCUUAGGAAUGUGUGUAUCUAUUCACGUAUUUGAUAUAAGAUUCUUUAAGCAACGAAACUGUGUUUUUCAAAAAUUUCAAAUACCAGGAGCCCUGGAGCCCGGUAGUUGCAGGCACUUUUUGAGGCUUGGGAAGGUCUCUCUCUGUCUCUCUCUCUCUCACACGCACGCACGCACGCGCACGCACGCGCACACGCGCACACGCGCACACAUGUAGUCAUAGGUGUGGCGAUGCAUGGCUUUGACUGGCUGCAGUGAAUUGUUGGUUUUGUUUUGUCCUUUUUCUUCUUCCUCCUCCUUAUUUUCAUCCUCUUGUUCCACGUACAUGCAUGCUCCUCCUCCUCGUGCAUUAUCUCUUUGUCUGUGACAUGCAUCCAUGUAUGGAUUUUUUUUCUCCUACGGUAAAAUUUCUCCCAUGAGGGCAAUUCUCGUUGUUUUUAUUCCUUUCCUUCACUUGCAUGAGCCCCCUGCCGGAUAUACAUCAAUACAUGCAUGCAGCACUUGCAUUAGCAGCCCUACGCGUUUGAGACGUGCUCUGUAAGAAAGUAAGCUGUUUUUGGGCUAGCUACAGUCAUUUCACGCUGUUUUUGUCGGUAAGUAAUUUUCCAGCUUGAAAAAGGUAUUUGGUCUGAAAAACCUGGAAACUUGCAUGAAAUAAAAAUACAAACUUGCAUCGAAAACUACAGAUUGUACAAAAAUAGGCUGGAAUCAUCGUAAUAGUUGGAGUUGCAAGAACUCAUCUACAAUACGAAACUAUCAAUCAACCAUGCAUACAAAAAGCGCAGAUGGUUUUUUUUACCUUUGUUGAUAUUUCAUCGAACACCUAGUGUGCGAGGAGGAGAAAUCCGUCCGGCGAGCCAUCAGUGGCUUGCGGCUGUCGGGAGGGGGUGGACAACGGCUACUGGAAGUGCUCCCUCGACAUGCAUACGGCGGUUAUGCAUCCGGAACUCGGAGACGUAGCCGUUGUCGCCUAAAUUAAAUGCCGCCGACUCUCUGCUCGGCCGUGGCGGUGGGGCGACCGCUGUGGAGCUCCGGCGGCCGCUAGGCCAUAAUGUAGGGGCACAACUGACUGGCCAUGGCGACUACAAUGGUGAAUCGAUGUGGCGGCCACGACGCGGGCGCAGGCCAAAUCGGGGCGGGCGGAGGAGCUCCGUUGUGCAAGGCGAUCAGCGGUGCGUCUUUCUUUUGGCUUAUUUGUGCUGCGGCCAAGCGAGCUCGAUGUAUCGGGUAUUUGCUUUAUAAUAUAAAGUAGGGGACCCUUUAUCGUAUAAGCAGUGCGUCUGAUGUGCGGAGCAUGCGAAGCCACGAGACUCAGCGUACAUAUGUACGCUGUGACACCAAAAUGCAAUAACAAAUGAUACAAAGCCUCAUUAUUAACUGCAUAUUUUCUAAUCAUUCUAAUCUUCAAGCGCAUUGCAUCCAUCUUGAUCUUGUGAUCAUCGACGACAUCAGCAACAAACAACUCCAGUUUCAUCUUCUCUUCUUCAAUUCUUUUCAAUUUUUUUUCAAAUACUCAUUUUCUUUUUCAACUAAAUUUAACUUCUCAACAAGAGGGUCGGUUGCAAUUUCCGCUUCACAUACCUCCUAAAUAAAAAUAUCUAUGUCAACUUGAUGGGAAGAAUUGUCAUAAACAUGAAAUGCAACAAAUAGUUAUCAAAGAGAAUAUACCACAUCCAAAUCAUAAACCGGACAAGGGCUGACGGAUAUCAAAUCCAUGCCACUAUGUAUAAUAAACAAAGUACGUGUAAGAAAAUUAUACAAGUAACUAUCUAAAUCUCAUAGACAUGAUUUUUUUUAUAAAAAGGAUAAGAAUAAGAGGCUCACCAAGGUGGUGAUGACGACAGGACGGUACGGGCGAUGGACGGUGGUUAGGACGGGGACGGGAUGGCACUAAGUAAACCACACCUACAUAUGCAAAUUAAGAAGUUAAUUUGAGCUCAAAUUGCAUAUAAAUCAAAUAAACUACCACAUAUAAUUACUCCCAAACUAAAACCCAAAAAUCACUAUACUUAUAGAGCAUUGCAAGAGCUAAUCUAGAAAUGAGAGAUGAAAGAACAAAGUUGCUGACGGUGUCCUGGACUAGGGGUACUCAUCACAUCGUCUCGCGACCAGGUGGAUCUGGCCGAGGACCCCUGUUGGGGAUAUGAUUACUGAGUUAAACCGCCCAGGAAGGGGCCGGAUUAACUCACAAGGAGUCCUGUGCAAGAGCCCAUGAAGAUGAAGGCUAUGGCGCUUUAACCAUGAAGACAUAGAGGCCCAGAGCCCGAUGGCGGAUUAGGGCCCAUAAUGGUAAACCGCCAUAGAUGUGUAACUUGUGUUGUAAGUCAGGGAAAGGAGAAACCGAGUCGGACACUUGUAUGAGCCGAACUCGGGAUCUUGUAAACCGGCCGGGCGUCAACCUGUGUAUAUAAAGGGACGACCCGGCGGCGGUUCAGGGACAAGAAACAACAACUCGAAAGCCAGACAUAUCGUGUUUGCCCCCUGGUAAUCGAGACCACAUCAAAAACACCCCAACUGGAUCGUAGGCUUUUACCUUCACCGCAAGGGGCCGAACCAGGACAAACUCCCUGUGUCCUUUGUCCGGUUUAACCCUUCUAAGCUAACCCGUUGCGAUGGCUCCACGACUAAGUCCUUUCACUAGGACAUCUGACGUGAUAAUUCCACGACAGUUAGCGCCCACCGUGGGGCGAUCGCACGAUGGUUUCAAGUUCUUAGAGGGCAAGUUCGAAGGGCUCAAGGGAUACGCAGUGGUCCGGAUGACUAAGAGUCGUCGCGGCAAGCUCUACAUCAAUGACACAAGCUGGGGCCCCGACGCCGGCUCAGUCGAGUACGGAUACCGGGUCCCCUUCGGAGGAAUUCACGUCUUCAUCGGCAAGAUCGGCGAACCGGGCCCUGAGUCGGACAUCUGCACCGACCACGUCGAGAUGGCUCAGCGUGCGAGCCCUACCCGGGGUCAGCCCGCCAUGAAGCAUGCGUUCGUAGGAUGUAUCCAUAGGAUCGAAUCUGAACCGGUGUCCGAUGGUGAGACGGCCGUUUACUCCGAUGGUGAGUCAUCUACCGGUGAGACUGAGUCUUUGUAUCAAGUUCAGGAUGGCCUGUUUGGGGGGUAUUCCGAUGGCAGCAAUAUUCCGGACCCCUUUGAACCGCCAAACCGGGUUGCAAUCUUCAUGGCUGGCACGCAACUCGUCCGACAAUCUUCAACAGCAGCGGCGAUAAUCUCCGGAUCAACAGCUGGGGCAGGUGGCCCUGGGCGCCCGUCGGUUCAAGUCUUGUCUGGAUUAUUGGACGCUUUGGCAACAUUAUUGACUGCUGAAGUUAGUACGGAAAAUCGGGAGGAGCAUAAUACGGAAGUCAGAAAGUUGCGAGAGCAGAUAGCUCAGGCUAAUUAAGGAGGACAUGGCUGCUGAGGAGACCAGGAUGGUCGAGGAACGAAUCGCUUUAAAUGCUAAGGCACAGCGAGUUCAUGCAGAGGCUUACCGGCUUAUGUUGCAUCAGAACGCUUCAAACGAAGUGAUGAUGAGAAGGCACCAAUCUCGUCUGCCGUCGGUUUACGAAGGAAGAAAUCUUUUUAACACGCCAGGAGUGGGCACUAGCAACCCGCCCGUGGUGAACCCGAUUGAAGCACCAAGUACAGGAGCGCUAGAUCAGCUGGGCAUGAUGGGUCCGCCUCAGCAGAAUCAUGAUCCUCCGCAAUACGCACCAGCUCCACCGGGUCAUUUUGCCACCCCUUUGGACAACAUGAUUGCUGCAGCGUCAAGAUUGGCUGCUAUUCCAAUGGAAGGUGACUCCCUGAUACGUCUCCAACGUAUCUAUAAUUUUUGAUUGUUCCAUGCUAUAAUAUUACCUGUUUUGGAAGCUUAUGGGCUUUAUUCUACAUAUUUAUAUCAUUUUUGGGACUAACCUACUAACCGGAGGCCCAGCCGAUAUUGUUGUUUUUUUUGCCUAUUUCAGUAUUUUGAAGAAAAGAAAUAUCAAACGGAGUCCAAACGAAAUGAAACCUUCGGGAGUGUUAUUUUUGGAACAAAUCAGAUCCGGAGAGACUGGAGUGCAAGUCAAGAAAGCUCCGAGGGCCCCACGAGAUAGGAGGGCGCGACCCCCUAUAGGGCGUGCCACCUGUCUCGUGGGCCCCUCGGGCGUCCACUGAUGUACUUCUUCCUCCUAUAUAUACCUACGGACCCCGAAAACAUCCAGGGGCACCACGAAACACAAUUUCCACCACCGUAACCUUCUGUAUCCGCGAGAUCCCAUCUUGGAGCCUUCGCCGGCACUCUGCCGGAGGGGGAAUCAACAACGAAGGGCCUCUACACCAACAUCCUUGCCCCUCCUAGGAGUUGUGAGUAGUUUCCAUAGACCUACGGGUCCAUAGUUAUUAGCUAGAUGGCUUCUUCUCUCUUUUUGGAUCUCAAUACAAUGUUCUCCCCCUCUCUUGUGAAGAUCUAUUCGAUGUAAUCUCUUUUUGCGGUGUGUUUGUCAAGAUCCGAUGAAUUGUGAGUUUAUGAUCAGAUUCAUCUAUGGUUAUUAACUGAAUCUUCUCUGAAUUCUUUUAUGUAUGAUUGAGUUAUCUUUGUAAAUCUCCUCGAAUUAUCGGUUUGGUUUGGCCUACUAGAUUGAUCUUUCUUGCCAUGGGAGAAGUGCUUAGUUUUGGGUUCAAUCUUGCGGUGUUCUUACCCAGUGAUAGAAAGGGUUGCAAGACACGUAUUGUAUUGUUGCCAUCGAGGAUAACAAGAUGGGGUUUAUAUCAUAUUGCAUGAGUUUAUCCCUCUACAUCAUAUCAUCUUGCUUAAUGCGUUACUCCGUUCUUAUGAACUUAAUACUCUAGAUGCAUGCUGGAUAGCGGUCGAUGUGUGGAGUAAUAGUAGUAGAUGCAGGCAGGAGUCGAUCUACUUGUUUUGGAUGUGAUGCCUAUAUACAUGAUCAUGCCUAGAUAACGUCAUAAUUAUUCGCUUUUCUAUCAAUUGUUUGACAGUAAUUUGUUCACCCACCGUAAUACUUAUGCUCUCGAGAUAAGCCUCUAGUGAAACCUAUGGCCCCCGGGUCUAUCUCUUAUCAUAUUUGCUUUCAAUCUACUUUAAUUUUGCAUCUUUACUUUCUUGCAUUUAUAUUACAAAAUACCAAAAAUAUAUUUAUCUUAUCAUACUAUCUUUAUUAGAUCUCACUUCCGCAAGUGGCCGUGAAGGGAUUGACAACCCCUUUAUUGCGUUGGUUGCGAGUUCUCAGUUUGUUUGUGUAGGUGCGUGGGACUUUUGAGGAGCCUCCUACUGGAUUGAUACCUUGGUUCAUAAAACUGAGGGAAAUACUUACGCUACACUUGCUGCAUCACCCUCUCCUCUUCGGGGAAAACUAACGCUAGCUCAAGACGUAGCAAGAAGGAUUUCUGGCGCCGUUGCCGGGGAGGUCUUCGCUCAAGUCAAGACAUACCAAGUACCCAUCACAAACUCAUCUCCCUCGCAUUUACAUUAUUUGCCAUUUGCCUCUCGUUUUCCUCUCCCCCCACUUCACCCUUGCCGUUUUAUUCUCCCUCUCUUUCCCAAUCUCCUCCUCUCUUUUCCGUUUGCCGUUUUCUAUUUGCUUGUGUGUUGGAUUACUUGUUGCCAUGGCACAAGAUAAUACCAAGUUGUGUGAUUACUCGAAUACCAAUAAUAAUUAUUUCCUUAAUACUCCGAUUGCUCCUCUUAAUGAUGUUGAGUCUUGUGAAAUCAAUACUGCCUUGCUGAAUCUUGUUAUGAAAGAUCAAUUCGCCGGCCUUCCUAGUGAAGAUGCCGCUACUCAUCUAAAUAAUUUUAUUGAUUUGUGUGAUAUGCAAAAGAAGAAAGAUACGGAUAAAAAUAUUGUCAAAUUGAAGUUAUUUCUGUUUUCACUUAGAGAUCGUGCUAAAGUUUGGUUUUCGUCUUUGCCUAAAAAUAGUAUUGAUUCUUGGAACAAGUGCAAAGAUGCUUUUAUCUCUAAGUAUUUUCCUCCCACUAAGAUCAUCACUCUUAGGAAUGAUAUUAUGAAUUUUAAACAACUUGAUCAUGAGCAUGUUGCCCAAUUUUGGGAAAGAAUGAAAUUGAUGCUUCGCAAUUGCCCUACUCAUGAUUUGAAUUUAUGGAUGAUCAUACAAAAUUUUUAUGCCGGUUUGAACUUUGCUUCUAGAAAUCUCUUAGAUUCGGCCGCGGGGGGCAUGUUUAUGGAAAUUACGUUAGGAGAUGCUACAAAAUUGCUUGACAAUAUUAUGGCUAAUUAUUCUCAAUGGACACCGAAAGAUCUUCUAGUAAAAAAGUGCAUACUAUAGAAGAAAUCAAUGUUUUGAGUGGAAAGAUGGAUGAACUUAUGAAGAUGUUUGCUACUAAAAAUACUCCUCUUGAUCCCAAUGAUAUGCCUUUGUCUUCUUUGAUUGAGAAUAAUAAUGAAUCUAUGGAUGUGAAUUUUGUUGGUAGGAAUAAUUUUGGAAACAAUGCUUAUAGAGGAAAUUUUAAUGCUAGACCGUUCCCUAGUAAUACCUCUAAUAAUUAUGGAAAUUCCUACAAUAAUUCUUAUGGUAAUUUUAAUAAGAUGUCCUCUGAUUUUGAUAAUAGUGUGAAAGAAUUUAUGAUUUCUCAAAAGAAUUUUAAUGCUUUGCUUGAAGAAAAAUUGCUCAAAGUUGAUUUGGCUAGGAACGUUGAUAGACUUUCGCUUGAUGUUAAUUCUCUUAAACUUCGAUCUUCUUCUCCUAAGCAUGAUAUCAAUGAGUCUCUCAAAGUAAUGAGAAUUUCCAUUGACGAGUGCAAGGAAAGAACCGCUAGAUUGCGUGCUAAGAAAGAAAGCUUUAUAAAAGCAUGUUCUUCUAGUCUAGAUGAAAAUAAUGAUGAGGAUCUUAAAGUUAUUGAUGCGUCUCCUAUCAUAUCUGUGAUUAUGGGACUGAUGAUGAAUCAACUUUGCCUAGAAGGCGUCCCAAAAAUUCGGAGUCUUUAGAUCUUAAUUCUAAAUUUGGUAAAAGAGAGAUUGGAGAAUCCUCAACUUCUAAUAAUGUUGAACCUACUAUCUUGGAUUUCAAGGAAUUUGAUUAUGAUAAUUGCUCUUUAAAAGGUUGUAUUUCCUUGUUGCAAUCCGUUGUUAAUUCUCCUCAUGCUUAUAGUCAAAACAAAGCUUUUACCAAACAUAUUGUUGAUGCCUUGAUGCAAUCUUAUGAUGAAAAACAUAAUUUGGAAGUUUCUAUACCUAAAAACCUUAAUGAUGAGUGGGAACCUACUAUAAAGAUUAGAAUUAAAGAUUUUGAGUGUUUUGCUUUGUGUGAUUUGAGUGCUAGUGUUUCCACAAUUCCGAAAACUUUAUGUGAUAUUCUAGAUUUCCAUGAUCUUGAUGAUUGCUCGUUAAAUUUGCAUCUUGCGGAUUCCACCAUUAAAAAACCUAUGGGAAGGAUCAAUGAUGUUCUUAUUGUUGCAAAUAGAAAUUUGGUGCCCGUAGAUUUUAUCGUUCUUGAUAUAGAUUGCAAUCUUUCUUGCCCUAUUAUUCUUGGUAGACCUUUCCUUAGAACGAUUGGUGCGAUUAUUGGUAUGAAGGAAGGGAACAUUAGAUUCCAAUUUCCCUUAAAGAAAGGCAUGGAGCACUUUCCAAGAAAGAAAGUCAAAUUACCUUAUGAAUCUAUCAUGCGCGCUACUUAUGAAUCAAGUGCCAAAGAUGGCACUCGUUAGAUCUAUCCUUGCUUUUAUGCCUAGCUAGGGGCGUUAAACCAUAGCGCUAGUUGGGAGGCAACCCAAUUUUCUUUAUGUUCUUUGUUUUUGUUCCUGUUUAGUGUUAAAUUCUGUUUCUACUUUCUGUUUAGAUGUGUUUGUAUCUUUUGUUUAGUGUUUGUGCCAAGUAGAACCUAUAGGAUAAACUAUGAUGAUGGUUGAUUUGAUUCUGCCGAAAAAGAGAAACUUUGCGCUCACGAGAAAAAAUUCAAUAAAUCACAGAAAAGUGCUUUUGCAUUGAUUCUUUUUGCUGAUGAUCAAUAAACAAAUUGUACAGUAUGUCCUAUUUUGGUACGAUUUUUAGAUUUCUGAAGCAUUAGUUACAGAUUGCUACAGAUUGUUCUGUUUUUGACAGAUUCUGCUUUUCAUGUGUUGUUUGCUUAUUUCAAUGCAUCUAUGGCUAAUAAAUUAGUUUAUAAGCCAUAAGGAAGUUGGAGUACAGUAGGUUUAACAUCAAAAUAAAUAAAGAAUGAGUUCAUUACAGUACCUUAUGUGGUGGUUUUGUUUUCUUUUACUAACGGAGCUUAUAAGAUUUCCUGUGGUGUUUUGUGUUGUGAAGUUUUGAAGUUUUGGGUAAAGCUUUUAUGGACUAUGGAAUAAAGAGUGGAAAGAGCCUAAGCUUGGGGAUACUUAUGGCACCCCAAUAUAUUCAAGAAUAGCCAAAAGCCUAAGCUUGGGAUGCCCCAGGAAGGCAUCCCGUCUUUCGUCUUCGUUCAUUGGUAACUUUACUUGGAGCUAUAGUUUUAUUCGCUACAUGACAUGUGUUUUGCUUGGAGAGUCGUGUAUUAUAUUGGUCCUUGCUUGUUAGUUUACCACAAUCAUACUUGCUGUAACACACCUUUUUGGAUAAGCCUAUUUGUUUAGAACUAGAUGAUGCCCCGUGCGUUGCUGCGGGACAGGUGUAAAUACAUAUUCAUAGAAUUAGAGAUAAAAUAUAAAGAAACAUUUUCUAGGUGCCCCGCGGAUUGCCGCGGGUGCAAAAAGAAUCCCGUACAUAAGUCUCAUAUACAAAGGAAAUAUCACUGAGAAUCCACAUAAACAAAACUUACGAUAUGUGGCUCGGUGUUACAAUUUCUACUGAUCCCUAGCAUCCGUAUGAAAAAUCAGCUUGUCAAUGUGAAAGUUUUCUUUUACCUAUAAAAAAACUUUGGUUACAAACUUUGAAUCAAUACAAUUAACCACAAUAAUUAAUUUUGCCAAGGCAUGAACAGGGUAUAAAUCAAAAUCACACUGUAUAAUCUAGAAUGAUAUAUGUUGCUUUAUGUCCAAGCGAAAGAGAUAUCCACUGCUGAAAAGGCAUAUGAAAUUCAGAGACAUAUAUUAUCAAUCAAGCACUUGUGUGGGACGAAUGGAAAAAAGAAAAUCAAAAUUGCAUUAACAAUCUAAAAUGAUAUCCGAUACCUUAUGUCCAAGUAAAAGAGCAUCUUCACGAAGUCCAUAUGGGAGCACAUGGAGCUUAUAAGCCUAGACCAGAGAGUGUCGGACGUGUGUGGAGUGGAUGAGCAAAUGUUGCAGAUUACAGAGUAGGGACUGGGAAGUGACCGGAAAGGCAAAAUCUGAACGACCUACCACAUAGAGCUGAUGCGCUAGCCCCAACCGUGGAGUACCAUUGGAAGCCAAGUUUGCUGAUUGAGUCGGAUUCCUCGUCACCGACGGCAACCGCAGGGGCAUAGCAAAGACGUUCCGAAGCCUCAGCGGUUGUGCCCUUCUUCGACGAUCCGGGAUUCUGGGUAUCCCGCAACGGAACAACAGUCCAUCUUGUGUUCCCACAAUCAAAGAGACACCGGAGGCGAGGCAGGCGAGGCGAGGAAAACCGGCUGGCGUGCGGCAGGAGAUUUGAAGCAGAGCAAAUGGGGUGCACAACGACAUGUCUUCCAUGACGACGUGGGUGCUCGGCAACGGAAUCGCGUCGCGACCCACUCUCAUAGUGGCAUCAGGACAAAGGAAGAGCAUCAAUGGUGCGAGAAGAUGGUAGUAGAGACAGGUUGAUAGACGCGAAGGCCGUGGCCGUGCCGUUUAAUCUAGCCUCUUCUUUGGGUAACGGAGGGCGAAGUAAUGAGGCGCGAUCAAUGUUUCGGUUUCAUGUGCAUUUGCGCCAGGGAGAGAUUCGGCCACGAGCCCGCGACAACAGAAGAGAUAACGGCGACGAUGAUUCAUAGCGGAGAAGUUUUAUUUUUUGAGCAAAUCAUAGCGGAGAAGAUGACCUAGUGCCGUGGUUGACCCCCAUGGGCUAUACAGCCCACAUGCAUAACAUACUAACAUUGAAUCGGGCCCUGUGUUUUGAUUUUCGGCCGAAAAAAGUGGACUUCGGCCGAAUUUCGGCCAUCUCGGCCUGGGGCGAAAAGUAUAUUAGGCCAAAAUUGCUCAAAUUUGGCAAAUUUUGGUUAAAUUUAAGUCAAAUUGUAGUCAAAAUUUGGUCAAAUUUCAGCCAAAAUUUUAGAAAAUGGCCGAAAUUCGGCCAUCUCGGCCUAGGGCGAAAAAAAGCUCAAACCGAAAAUCAAAACACAGAUCGGGCCCCAUGUGCGCAAACACAACCCACAUGCAGCUCGGGCAACCCACAGUUAGUACGUGGGUUUGUAAAGCCCAAGCGAUGGAAGUCGGGGAAGGCAGCCAGAGUUAGCGCACGACAGCUGAUUGCGUUCAAGCUUGAUCGAAUGGCUAAUAAUAAUUCAGGUGACGUGGCUGCACGAGAAUCCAAGAAAAUCAGGUAGUGGGGUGCUUCUAUUUAGAUAUAGAAGAUUUGCAAGAAUACUCUAUGUGCUUCACUUAUAUCUUUUGAGCUUAAUAGUUUUUGCUCUAGUGCUUCACUUAUAUCUUUUAGAGCAUGGUGGUGGAUUAAUUUUAUAGAAAUUGCUAGUCUCUCAUGCUUCACUUAUAUUAUUUUGAGAGUCUCUUAGAAUAGCAUGAUAUUUUCUAUGGUUUUAAUUUGGUCCUAAAAUGAUGAGCAUCCAAGUUGGGUAUAAUAAAAACUAUCAUAGAAAGUGAAUUGGAUGUUAUGAUCAAUUUGAUGCUUAAUAAUUGUUUUGAGAUAUGGAGGUAGUAAUAUUAAAGUCAUGCUAGUUGGGUGAUUAUGGAUUUAGAGAAUGCUUGUGUUGAAGUUUGUGAUUUCCGUAGCAUGCACGUAUGGUGAACCGCUUUGUGAUGAAGUUGGAGCACAAUUUUAUUGAUUGUCUUCCUUAUGAGUGGCAGUCGGGGAUGAGCGAUGGUCUUUUCCUACCAAUCUAUCCCCCUAGAAGCAUGCAUGUAGUGCUUUGAUGUUUGAUGACUUCUAAAUUUUUACAACAAGUAUAUGAGUUCUUUUGAUUAAUGUUGAGUCCAUGGAUUAUACACACUCACUACUAGGGAAAAGCCUAUACACAGAAUCUUAUCAGAAGCACGCUUUAAAAUAAGGCGCUGCUGCUAAUUAGCAGUAGCAUGCUCAGGAAUAACUCGCUGCUGAAACCAAUAUAGCAGUAGCACGCCCGCUCAAAGACGCGCUACUGCUAUAAUUCCCACGAGGCCGCCACGAGGCUAGUUAUAGCAGCAACGCGUUAUAACGACAGGCGCUACUGCUACGUAGCAUAGUAGCAGCGCAUUUCUGCAAUAAGCACUACUGCUAAAUUUACUACAAAAAUUUAGCCCCGUCUCCUCUAUCCGAUCCACUCACACAGUCACACACUAGCUCACUGGAUCCCCUCUCAAUCCCCCGCGCCGGUCCACCCCCGUCGCCCCUUCUCCGUCUGCGCCGCCGUCACCUCCUCCUCCUUGCUGGACUCGGUACCGGCCUCCUCCUCCGUCCUCCCUCUCCACUCGCCGCUGGCCGGCCCCUCCUCGCUCCGCCUUCCUCCUUCGUCCUCCCUCCACUGGCCGCGCCGGCCGGCCCCUCCUCGCUCCGCCUUCCUCCUCCAUCCUACUCUCUUCUCCCUCUUCGAGUCGCCCCUCCUUCUCCCUCCUGCCUGCUACAUUUUGAUUUAGUAGCUAGGCUAGUUCAUAUGCAACAUUUUGAUUUAGUUGAUAUGAUUUAGUUGAUUUAGUAGGCUAGUUGAUUUAGUUGACUUAGAACAUUUUGAUUUAGUUGAUUUAAUAGGCUAGUUCAUUUAGUUGAUUUGGUUGACUUAGAACAUUUUGAUUUAGUUGAUUUAGUAGGCUAGUUCAUUUAAUUAGUUGAUUUAGAACAUUUUGAUUUAGUUGAUUUAGUAGGCUAGUUGAUUUAGUUGAUUUAGAACAUUUUGAUUUAGUUGAUUUAGUAGGCUAGUUGAUUUAGUUGACUUAGAACAUUUUGAUUUAGUUGAUCGUUAAUCCUUUGCUCAUAUUGCUUUAGGAAAAAUGGCGCCACCACCACCACCACUAUGUCGACUGUGCAAGUCAAGAUGCGCCAACAGCCUUGCAACUGAUCAACGUCUCCUUCCGAGCAGAAAGACCCAAGCUAGCUGUCAUUUAUCUCAACCUGGUGGAAGAUGAUGAAGAUGGCGGAGAUGAUGAAGAUGAUGAAGAUAAUGAGGACCCACUCGAUGAAGAUGAUGAGGACCCACUUCAUGAAGCCAUCAUAGCUCAAAGAACAAGGCUGAGUGAGGAGGAGGUGUCCAACCUAUGGGACAUAAUUCCGCCACGUGCUGACUUUGUCGGGGUGCCAUUCGUGACUCGCUUGACAAAUACCAUGGUUGAUCGACAUGAUAUGGUAUGUUAUACUUACAAAUGCAAAUUAUCCAAUGAAUUACUUAGUGUACAGUCCAAUGAUAUGGUAUGAUGUGUGGAAUCUAGUCGAUGAUAUGUUUUAGUGUAGAGUUCGAUCACCUGCUUAUUAGUGUAGAAUCUAACGAAACUAUUAAUAGUGUAGAUAAUCCAUAUGUACUUAUUUGCGAGGCAAUUUAUUAAUUGAUAUGUUUUUCUUAUUCAGAAAUUGGCAAAGAGCAUAUCUGUGAGUUAUGGUAUCGAGCCUGAUGAAGAAGGCUCGGCUGGACUACGCCUUACUGCAAGGGGCUCCGUCACAACCUGUACUGACCGCGUGGAUACGGACGGUCGCACACACUUAAACUCGGUUGGGUGGAAGAAAUUCCUCGAUGGCAAGAAUCUUCGUGUUGGACAGGCCAUCCUAAUUACUAUCAGGAACACCAACCGCCCAGGCUUAAGGAUGAUGAUUGUCUUCGAUAUCAUGUAGAACUACAUAUGUGUGUGUGUGGCUAUAUCAUCUAGAACUAUAUAUGUGUGUGUGGCUAUAUCAUCUAGAACUACAUAUGAUGAUCGUCGUCGAUAUCAUGUAGAACUACAUAUGAUGAUGGCCGUUGAUAUGACCUUGUACUGCUUGAGGAUGCAUGUUGACUAUGCAUGAAAUUGUUAUCUAGUACUCCCUUCGUUCCAAAUUACUCGUCGUGGUUUGAACUAAAACUACGACGAGUAAUUUGGAACGAAGGGAGUACUAUCUAGUAAUGGUUUAUGAAUUUGAUAUCUACUAGCAGUACCUAGUAUCUAGUAUCUGAAAGGGAAACUGAAAGGGAAAGGGGUAAUGGGAAAAUGAUGAAAGAUAUAGCAGUAGCGAGGGAUGGCGAAAUCGCUACAGCUAGGUAAUAGUAGCGCAUUCUUAAAAAGCGUUGCUGAUAUCGUAAACAGUAGUAGCGCGGGUAAGGGCCGCGCUACUACUAUAAGUUAGCUGUAGCGCCUUAUUAGUAGCGCGUCCACCCGCGCUGCUGCUAGCCUCAAAACCCGUGCUACUACUAGGGUUUUCCCUGGUAGUGACUCCUUUCACCAUCCAUUAUUGCUAGCCUCUCUUGUAUCGUGCAACUUUCGCCGGUACCAUACACCCACCAUAUACCUUCCUCAAAACAGCCACCAUACCUACCUAUUAUGGCAUUUCCAUAGCCAUUCCGAAAUAUAUUGCCAUGCAACUUUCCACCGUUCCGUUCAUAUGACACACAUUACUUUUGUCAUAUUGCUCUUUGCAUGAUCAUGUAGUUGACAUCGUAUUUGUGGCAAAGCCACCAUCAUAUUUUUCAUACAUGUCGCUCUUGAUUCAUUGCAUAUCCCGGUAUACCGCGGGAGGCAUUCACAUAGAGUCAUAUCUUGUUCUAGCUUUGAAUUGUAAAUCCAUAAAAGUGUGAUGAUCUUCAUUAUUAGAGCAUUGUCCCGGUGAGGAAAGGAUAAUGAAGACUAUGAUUCCCCCACAAGUCGGGAUGAGACUUCGGACUUUACAAAAAAAAGAAAGGCCAAAAAAAGGCCAAAGAAAAAAAUGAAAGAAAAAAAAGAAUGAGAGAAAAAGAGAGAAAGGACAAUGCUACUAUCUCUUUUUCCACACUUGUGCUUCAAAAUAGCACCAUGAUCUUCAUGAUAGAGAUUCUCAUAUGUUGUCACUUUCAUUUACUAGUGGGAAUUUUUCAUUAUAGAACUUGGCUUGUAUAUUCUAAUGAUGGGCUUCCUCAAAAUGCACUAGGUCUUCGUGAGCGAGCAAGUUGGAUGCACACCCACUGGUUUUCUUUUGUUGAGCUUUCAUAUAUUUAUAGCUCUAGUGCAUCCGUUGCAUGGCAAUCCCUACUCACUCACAUUGAUAUCUAUUAAUGGUCAUCUCCAUAGCCCGUUGAUAUGCCUAGUUGAUGUGAGACUAUCUUCUCCUUUUUUGUCUUCUCCACAACCACCGUUCUAUUCCACAUAUAGUGUUAUGUCCAUGGCUCACGCUCAUGUAUUGCGUGAAAGUUGAAAAAGUUUGAGAUUAUUAAAGUAUGAAACAAUUGUUUGGCUCGUCAUCGGGGUUGUGCAUGAUUAAAUACUUUGUGUGAUGAAGAUAGAGCAUAGCCAGACUAUAUGAUUUUGUAAGGAUAACUUUCUUUUGGCCAUACUAUUUUGAGAAGACAUGAUUACUUGCUUGGUAUGUUUGAAGUAUUACUAUUUCUUAUGUCAAUAUGAACUUUUAUUUUGUAUUAUUUCGAUCUGAAAAUUCAUGCCACAAUGAAAGAAAAUUACAUUAUGAAUUAUGCUAGGUAGCAUUCCACAUCAAAAAUUCUCUUUUUAUCAUUUACCUACUCGAGGACGAGCAGGAAUUAAGCUUGGAGAUGCUUGAUACGUCUCCAACGUAUCUAUAAUUUUGAUUGUUCCAUGCUAUUAUAUUACCUGUUUUGGAUGCUUAUGGGCUUUAUUCUACAUAUUUAUAUCAUUUUUGGGACUAACCUACCAAUCGGAGGCCCAGCCCAUAUUGUUGUUUUUUUGCCUAUUUCAAUAUUUCGAAUAAAAGGAAUAUGAAACGGAGUCCAAAUGGAGUGAAACCUUCGGGAGCGUUAUUUCUGGAACAAAUCUGAUCCGGAGAGCCUGGAGUGCAAGUCAAGAAAGCUCCGAGGGCCCCACGAGAUAGGAGGGCGCGCCCCUUGUCUCGUGGGCCCCUCGGGCGUCCACGGACGUACUUCUUCCUCCUAUAUAUACCUAUGGACCCCGAAAACAUCCAGAGGCACCACGAAACACAAUUUCCACCACCGCAAACUUCUGUAUCCGCGAGAUCCCAUCUUGGAGCCUUCGCCGGCACUCUGCUGGAGGGGGAAUCGACUAUGGAGGGCCUCUACAUCAACAUCCUUGCCCCUCCUAUGAGUUGUGAGUAGUUUACCACAGACCUACGGGUCCAUAUUUAUUAGCUAGAUGGAUUCUUCUCUCUUUUUCGAUCUCAAUAUAAUGUUCUUCCCCUCUCUUGUGGAGAUCUAUUCGAUGUAAUCUCUUUUUGCGGUGUGUUUGUCAAGAUCCGAUGAAUUGUGAGUUUAUGAUCAGAUUCAUCUAUGGUUAUUAAUUGAAUCUUCUCUGAAUUCUUUUAUGUAUGAUUGAGUUAUCUUUGCAAGUCUCUUCAAAUUAUCGAUUUGGUUUGGCCUACUAGAUUUAUCUUUCUUGCCAUGGGAGAAGUGCUUAGCUUUGGGUUCAAUCUUGCGGUGUUCUUACCCAGUGACAGAAAGGGUUGCAAGACACGUAUUUUAUUGUUGCCAUCGAGGAUAGCAAGAUGGGGUUUAUAUCAUAUUGCAUGAGUUUAUCCCUCUACAUCAUAUAAUCUUGCUUAAUGCCUUACUCCGUUCUUACGAACUUAAUACUCUAGAUGCAUGCUGGAUAGCGGUCGAUGUGUGGAGUAAUAGUAGUAGAUGCAGGCAGGAGUCGAUCUACUUGUUUUGGAUGUGAUGCCUAUAUACAUGAUCAUGCCUAGAUAACGUCAUAAUUAUUCGCUUUUCUAUCAAUUGCUUGACAGUAAUUUGUUCACCCACCGUAAUACUUAUGCUCUCGAGAGAAGCCUCUAGUGAAACCUAUGGCCCCCGGGUCUAUCUCUUAUCAUAUUUGCUUUCAAUCUACUUUUAUUUUGCAUCUUUACUUUCUUGCAUCUAUAUUACAAAAUACCAAAAAUAUAUUUAUCUUAUCAUACUAUCUUUAUUAGAUCUCACUUUCGCAAGUGGCCGUGAAGGGAUUGACAACCCCUUUAUUGCGUUGGUUGUGAGUUCUCAAUUUGUUUCUGUAGGUGCGUGGGACUUUUGAGGAGCCUCCUACUGGAUUGAUACCUUGGUUCUCAAAAACUGAGAGAAAUACUUACGCUACACUUGCUGCAUCACCUUCUCCUCUUCGGGGAAAACCAACGCUAGCUCAAGACGUAGCACUCCCCCAUAGCGGUUGAGACAUGUCGGGCUAGGGAUUUACUCCAGACAGCAAUGGUUCAGCAACAGGCUUAUUCGUACAGUCGGGACAUGAUACACACUAACCCUCGUCCAAGUCGGAGUUACAGCCGGCGUGUUGAAGAGCCAGCUGUGUCAAGCAGUGGACGGAAUCAUCAUCCGCCACGGAGGCCUAACCUGGCAGGGGGAAGGAAGCGCAGGAUUUAGUGGACCAAGGACGAGCGCGCCGCGGCACCGGGUUGAAUGCACAGGACAUGGAGCGCCAGCUUACGCCGGUUCGUCCGACCACUACAGUAGAGCCAGCGGUUGCCUUUACCACUUUGGGGGUGUCGUGUCUCACACCGGCCCUGCACAAUGCGCGGUUACCCAAGGACUUCAAGGGCCCUCGGAAAGUACCCAAUUACACUUCUGAUUUACAUCUUGAGUCAUGUGUAGAAAGCUAUGAGAUGGCCAUGGAGAUGCUGGAUGUGGAUGGAGCGGUGUGUGCUAAGUACUUCACUAUGAUGCUAGAAGGAACAACUCGCACUUGGCUAAAGAGUUUACCACCCAAUUCAAUUGGGUCAUGGGAGGAGUUGAAGAGACGGUUUAUCAACAACUUCAAAGAUACUUGCAAGCAACCAAUGUCAAUUGUUGAUCUGGCUGCUUGUGUUCAAGCAGAGGGUGAAUCGACUACCCAUUGGGUACGCCGGGUUUCUGAGAUCUUACAUUCAUCUGAUCGGAUUAAUGCAGAUUCAGCAAUUAUAGUGCUAGAAGGCAAUUCCAAGUUCAAACCUUUGAAGUUCAAGUUGGGGCGGAUGAAGCGUCACUGCAAUGAUAUGGGAACACUCAUGGGGGCUUUGGUUAAAUAUGAUAACUCUGAUAAUACCAAGGAUCCCGAGUAUGACGAGGAAAAGCCGAGGAAGGGAAAGAAGAGCCGCAACACCAAAGGACAGCAACCCAACUCGGCGGGCAACGGUAACAACGGUAAACGAAAAGCAGAUAAUUCAGAUUUUGUGGCUAACACCAAUGUGCAGGGUAAUAAUCAAUGUCUUAAGGGUAAAUCGCCCCAGCGCGGCGGCGGUAUGAAUCUGGAACGUAUGUUGAAUCAGCCUUGCCCGAAGCACGGGACAAAGGAGGUUCUAGCCACGCACCUCUGGAAGGACUAUUUCAUUAUGCGAGAGUUCAAAAUUCUGACCUUUUCCGGUGUGAUCAGGGUCCAUCUGGCGGUUCAGGUCCUGGAUCUCAUGGGCCGGGUUACGGUGGUAGCGUUCAAACUCCGAAUUCCAGGGAAUCAAGGCAAUCAGGGCAAUCAGAAUAGCAGGGUGGUUAUAAUCAGUAGAAUAAUCAGGGAAAUCAGCAGCAGUCGGGUUAUCUGAGUCACCCGAAGCAAUUGAAUAGUGGGCAGUAUCAUGUUUUCACCUCUAGUUUGUGCAAGCGUGAUCAGAAGCUUCACAAGAGAGUAGUAAACAUUGUUGAACCGGCAGUAGCAUGUUACUUACGUUGGUCCGAAUAACCCAUUGUAUGGAGCAGAGAGGAUCAUCCACCCCGGUUGACAAUCCGGGUCAUUUGGCUUUGGUGGUGGCGCCUCAGGUUGGAGGAUAUAAGUUCACCAAGGUGCUGAUGGAUGGAGGGAGCAGUAUCAAUAUUUUAUAUUAUGAAACCUUCUGGCGCAUGGGAUUGACGGAUAAAAAUCUUAAACCGUCGAACACUAUUUUCCACGGAGUGGUACCAGGUAAAUCGGCAUACCCAGUUGGUAAGAUAAAUCUGGAGGUGGUAUUUGGAGAUGAUCAUGAUUCUAGAUCAGAAACCUUAACCUUUGAGGUAGUAAAGAUCCAGAGCCCAUAUCAUGCCCUGUUUGGAUGACCAACUUAUGCAAGGUUCAUGGCAAGGACCUGUUAUUUUAUCUACAGCUCAAGAUGUUGGGUCAUAAGGGGACCAUCACAAUACAUGGGAGACGUAAGAACGCUUUGGAUUGUGAAGAGGGUGAUGCGGCUUAUGCUGGGUCGGUUUGUGCGGCAGAAGAGUUAAAGUUCUACAAGGACAAUGUUGAUCUGGCAGAUAUGACUCCUCUGAAGAAGCCCACCACAGAGCAUGACCCAACCCUGAAGUUUAAACCGGAUGAUGAGACUAAAUUGUUGACUUUGUUACUGGUGAUUCAUCUAAACAGUUUAGUAUCAACACUAAUUUGGAUCUGAAAUAGGAAAGCGCGCUCAUCAAGUUCAUCCGCGAGAACCGGGACAUCUUUGCGUGGAAGCCUUCCGACAUGACAGGUGUACCGAGAGAACUCGCUGAGCACAAUCUCAAUAUUGAUCCCAAGUUUAAACCGAUCAAACAGUUUCUUCAUCGCUUCAACGAAGAAAGGCGCAAGGCCAUUGGCGAAGAGGUAGCCUGGUUGUUCGCUGCUGGUUUUAUCGUUGAGGUUUUUCAUCCUGAGUGGCUGGCCAAUCCGGUACUAGUGCUUAAGAAGAAUGGCACUUGGAGCAUGUGUGUGGAUUACACGGACUUGAAUAAAGCUUGUCCGGCCGAUCCUUUUGCCCUCCCUCGUAUUGAUCAGAUCAUUGAUGCUACGGCGGGUUGUGAGCGUUUGAGUUUCUUGGAUGCUUAUUCUGGUUAUCAUUAGAUCAAGAUGGCAGUUAAGGACCAGGAGAAAACAACUUUUAUCACUCCCUUUGGAGCCUUCUUUUAUGUAUCUAUGCCCUUUGGGAUCAAGAGUGCCCAGGCAACUUAUCAGCAUUGUGUGCAGAAUUGUCUUCAUACACAGAUUGGGCGCAAUGUUCAUGCUUAUGUGGACGAUAUUGUGGUAAAAUUCAGAAAAAAGGAGACAUUGAUUGACGACUUGAAGGAGACCUUUCACAAUCUUCGGGUUUACAAGAUGAUGCUCAAUCCGGCCAAAUGCGUUUUCGGUGUUCCGGCAGGCAAGCUCCUAGGUUUCUUGGUGUCUAACAGGGGCAUUGAGGCUAAUCCAGAAAAAAUCAAGGCUAUUACGUCUUUGGCUAAACCGGCAUGUAUCAAUGAUGUUCAACGUCUAGCAGGUCGGAUUGCAGCUCUGAGCCGGUUUAUCAGCCGUUUGGGAGAGAAGGCGAUCCCUCUAUAUCAGAUGUUGAGAAAGAAAGACACUUUUGUCUGGAGUAACGCUACUGAUGCGGCAUUUGAGGAUUUGAAGAGGCAGUUGGUUGAGCCGCCGGUCCUUGCCGCUCCGGUCGACAAUGAACCACUGUUAUUGUAUGUGGCUGCUAAUGUCCAGGCUAUCAGCGUGGCUAUUGUGGUCGAGCGCAAGGAGGCGGGGAUGGAAUAUCCGGUUCAAAGGCCUGUUUACUAUAUCAGCGAAGUGCUCAUCGAGUCAAAGCAAAGAUAUCCGCAUUGGCAGAAGCUGGUGUAUGGGGUUUUUAUGGCAAGCCGGAAGCUUAAGCAGUACUUUCAGGGCCAUCCCAUCAGAGUGGUCAGUUCUGCUCCUUUGGGCGAUAUAAUUCAGAACAGGGAGGCAACUGGCCGGGUUGCAAAGUGGGCUAUUGAGCUUGGACCGCACGGGCUGAAGUACAUGCCUCGGACAGCUAUCAAGUCUCAAGCACUUGUCGAUUUCAUCAAUGAUUGGACAGAGUUGCAGGCACCGAAAGACAAACUGGAUAACACAUACUAGACUAUCCACUUCGAUGGGUCCAGGCAAUUGGAGGGCUCGGGGGAUGGAGUUGUCCUUACUUCCCCUCAAGGUGAUAAAAUUCAUUAUGUUCUCCGCUUAAUGUUUCCUUGUACUAACAAUGCAGCUGAGUAUGAAGCCUUGCUCCACGGUCUUCACGUGGCUAAGGAAAUGAACUUAAGACGGGUACGAUGCUUUGGAGACUUUGAUCUGGUGGCUCAGCAAGUUUCUGGUACUUGGGACUCUAAGGAUCCGCUCAUGGCGGCUUACAGACAAGAGGUGGAUAUUGUGGCUGGUCACUUCAAGGGUUAUCAGGUUGAGCACAUUGACCGACGCAAAAAUGAAGCAGCAUAUGCUUUAAGCCGGCUGAGGUCUCACCGCAAACCGGUGCCACCCAAUACCUUUCUGGAUAUCCUGCAUAACCCGUCAGUUAAGUUGCCUACAGAGGAGGAUUUGGCUAUUCCUGAUCCGGAGGCACAGUUGGUGGUCGCUUUACAUGUUAUUCCGGAUUGGACGGUUCCAUAUUUGGCGCAUAUGAACCGGGGCGAGUUACCAGAAGAUGAAGUUUUGGCCAGACAGAUAGUUCAGCGAUCUAAGUCCAUGGUUAUUCACAAUGGCGAGUUACAUCACUUCAGUGUCUCAGGUGUGUUCCAGCACUGUGUUUCUCCUGAAGAGGGCCAAGAAAUUUUGCGUGAGAUCCACGAAGGAGAUUGUGGUCACCACGCUGGUUCAAAGUCCUUGGUUGCUGAAGCCUUUCGGCAUGGCUUCUACUAGCUGACGGCUCAUGCUGAUGCUCAGGAUUUGGUGAAACAGUGCGACGCUUGUCAGAAAUUCUCACGCAGCGCUCAUGUUCCGGCUCAAGAGCUAAGGAUGAUUCCAAUCACUUGGCCGUUUGCUACUUGGGGGCUUGAUAUGGUAGGACCUUUUAAGCGAUCCAAAGAUAAAAAGACCCACCUGUUGGUGGCGGUUGACAAAUUCACUAAAUGGGUUGAAGCGGAGCCAGUAAGCAAGUGUGAUGCAGGCACGGUGGUUCAAUUCAUAAAGAAGGUGAUCUUCCGCUUUGGCUUUCCACACAACAUCAUCACAGAUAAUGGCACGAACAUUUCCAAAGGUGAAAUGGAGGACUUCUGUCAAAGAGAGCACAUCCAGCUUGAUGUGUCAUCAGUGGCCCACCCUCAGUCUAAUGGUCAACCUGAGAGAGCUAAUCAGGAAAUCUUGAAGGGUAUCAAGCCCCGGCUUAUGGUUCCUUUGAAGAGGACGGCGGGUUGUUGGGUUGAAGAAUUGCCUUCUGUGUUAUGGAGCAUAAACACCACCCCAACCGGUCUACGGGUUAUACACCUUUCUUCAUUGUUUACGGGGUAGAGGCGGUCCUCCCAAGUGAUAUUCGUCAUGACUCGCCCCGGGUUGCCAAUUAUCUUGAAGAGGACAACGAGCAGGCACGUCAAGAAGCAUUGGACCUGUUAGAUGAAAAACGGGACAUGGCAUUGGCUCGCUCGGCGGUUUAUCAGCAAGACCUGUGGCGUUAUCACAGCCGCCGUGUUAAAACAAGAACCUUUCAAGAAGGCGACUUAAUGCUUCGGCUCAUCCAGGAUCACACCAAUAUGCACAAGCUAUCCCCACCUUGGGAAGGACCCUUUGUGGUCAGCAAGAAUCUUCAUAAUGGGUCAUACUACCUCAUUGAUGUUCGAGAGCACGCAGACUCACGCAAAGCUGAGGAGGAGACCUGGCGGCCGUGGAACAUAGCUCUCCUUUGGCCUUACUACACUUGAGCCAUAGGCUCCUCUUAUAUACAUAUUUUGACAAUGUAUAUAUUAUGAUCAAUAUAAUAAAUCGACAUCCUUGCUAUAAGCAGGGCCUCUGCUGUUUUUCCAAUAUCUCUUGAUGACAUGGGGGCUUCAGCUGACAAAGUGGAGUUCUAUCUGUCAAUCCGGCUAUCACGCCCUAACAUAGCUUUGGAGCUUCACACCCAAGGGGCCAAAGAGAGUCUUGUUGCUAUGCAUAGCUCAAACAUAGGCACCCAUAGAGCACAACUCACAAAGUUACUUGGGGGCUCUUUAUGCAAUGCAGCAAAGAGUUUGAAAGGACCCUUGUAAUAUGCUAUCAAGCACGGCUUGGAAGCCUGGUGUAUUCACCUAAAACCCCGGGUUAACAUGCCUUAUCAAGUAAGCCACUCCUAUCCAGGUAAUCCUGGCACGACCCGCCGAACGUUUGACAAGUCAAUCUUAUACAGACCCUGAACUUGUCAAAGUUAAAACGACGAUUGGUUAGUUGGAGGCCCAUCUUGAAAGGCUUUGCAAAAUGGUUUAACUCAGUGACCUGGCAGCCCAUGAAAAGCCUCGAAUUUGGGCCCGGCAGCCCUUGAAAAGCCUCGACUACACGGUUUGUUUGCCUUUAUCAAGAUUUUUCUCUUUUGAUAAAGUGUUGUGUUGAACCGGCGUCUAUUGACCCGGCAUGACUAUUAGUCAUUAAAUUAACCCGGUGUUUGUUAACCCGGUUUGGUUUUCAACUACAAGUUGACAGACCACAUCCAAUUGUAAACCAGAGUUUAUUAACCUGGUCUGGCAUUGACUAUACGUCACCAGGUUGAUCAUCCGGUGUUUAUCAUAACCCGGCAUGGUUUCUUAUGCACCAGUACAGCAUGGUGUGAGUUGUUAAACGCAAGUCUUGGGUUAUCACCCUUAUUACAAUCAAGUUGGUAAACCAACUAUGUGAUUCAAACAUCACAUGUAUGAUUUAAUUCAUAUUUUCAUAUUCCUAUAGCAUUGGUUAUAAACCAAGCUUUAUAUUGGAUAUUAUUAUUCGUCCGGCGGUAAACCACCAGGACAAUAUUUCCAUUCUAUCUUGUGCAGGAAUAAGAUUGCAUAAAAAUACUAAGGCAUAUAAGCAAGUACAACAAUAAUCCUGAUGGAUCAAAUAGUAUCAUGCAACACUACACGAUGGCGGUGGAUCAAAGUAUUUCAACUAGCCUAUUACAAGGCACUCGGAUGCCCAAGAGAAUAAAGUAUUUAUUUCACAGAAUUCAAUCUAUGGAAAUUAAACCGGCCGAUGGUCUACGAUUCAUCACCAGGUUAACGUGAAGUUGACAGAUCAUCUAGCGCCGGUUCACCCUCCUCCUCCCCAUCCACUGGCUGGAAGUCAAUGUUUGCCCAGUCAAUUCCAGACAAAGCUCGGAAGACGGCUUCAUCACUUAUAAGAUCUGACGGUUCAAUGUCAGGGGCAUAAGUAUGCUUACGGAUUGGUGGGAUAAGAUUCUGCACUUCAUUCACAGAUGCAUCAAUCCGUUUGUUAUCUGCAUCAUAGUUGGACCGAUGGACAGACAAGUCAGUUACUUUGGCCAAUCUGCUCGCAAGCGGGCGCAUCUCCUUCAUCAAAGCUUUAAGGGCAUCAUUGUCAAAGUGUGACCCGUAUGCUAUUUGGCUUGGAUAGCCAUUUCCAAUGUUCUCCGGAUCAAGAUCAGCUAUCCAACCUUUGGCCCGACUGAGUGCAGAUAAAGCGCCAGCCCUUGCAGUAGAUCUCUUCAAUUCUUCCAGCUGAGCAGGAGUCAUAGAUAAUCUGGCCAAUGUAUCCAUGAUUAAGGUCGGUGGUGGUUUAUUGUAUGAGGCUGCGCGGAUGACCCGUUGAGCGCCAGUAUACAACUGCUCUAUCAAUGUGUAGGCAGCCUUCAACUUUUUUCGCAUAUCUGAGCCAUGAUGAGCAAUACGACUACCUGCAAUGGUUUAAGAAAUUACUGUUAAACCGGCAUGAUCAAAGAUGUUUCCUAAAAAGCUGAAGAAGAGUACUUACCAAAGAUAGCAGAAGUCAUCGCAUCGAUUUGCCGCUUAAAGCCACUCAGCUCUUCUGCUACCGGUUUAAGUGCUGCUUCAGCAUCUUCAGCCCAUUUCAGCAAAGCGGCCUUUUCAGUCUCCCAGCCUGCCCGCUCGUUCUUGAAGCCAUCCUUCAAUUGUUCCAUGGACAUCAAAGCGUCCUUCAAAUCAUGUGUUGCUUUUGAGGUUGCAGCUUGCUGGGACUUAAUGUUUUCCUGGAGGUCGGCAAUUUGGGCAUCCUUGCUGGUUAAGUCAGCCUGCAAAAGGCAGAUAUUAAGAUGGUAAUACUUUUUUCAUAGUCCCAAGCACAUAACAAGUUAUACACUUGGCACUUGGGGGCUAAUGCGGAUUGUUUCUCUCAAGCUGAUAUUUUAAAGUCCCAAGGCUCAAUACAAGUAUUCAUCUUGGCACUUAGGGGCUAAUGCUUAUUUGAUCAUAUAAACUGGAUAUGAAGGAACUCAACAAGGAUAAGCCUUGCAACAUAAAGUACCGGUUCAUCUUCAAGAAGAUAAACCAGCCCUUGGGGGCUACACAGUUGAAGUUUUUCAUAUUGAAGUACCGGUUCUUCUUCAAGAAGAUAAACCGGCCCUUGGGGGCUACACUGGAGUAGACAUGAAGCAAAAGAAUAGUUUUAUGAAAUGGUUCGAGCAAUAAUUACCUCAUAGCGCUCCUUCAUCAAGUUGACUAAACCGGCUUCAUAGUCACAACUUGUGUAUAGGCGGUUUAGAAAUCCAGAGUGGAGUUCCUGAGCAGUGAGGUUAGCACAACUGGCUAAAUCAGUCUUCCACUUGCCUUUGCCCAUAGCAGCAACUUCUUCCUUGGCAGUAUGCUUCGCUAGAGCAACCGGGUUACCAGGAAUAGUAUGACCAGUACCAGUAAUGACAACGUCGUCAUCACCAUCUUUGGUUGUGCUUGGCGGAAUAUCAGUAUUCCUGGUUGGACUUGGCGGAUGGUCUUCAUCCUUGGCUGGACUUGGCGGAUCAGUAGGAUGGUUCAUAACAUUACUCUCAUCCGGUUCAACAAAAGUAUCUUGAACCGGAGGUACUGGAUCUUCCUGAACAACAUCGGUAUCCAGGUCAUGAGGUUCAAGGGUCUUCUCCGAUUCAAGGGUAUGAUUAUCAUCAAUUGGAACAGUGAAUUUGGCUUUCUUGCUAAGCCUGCCUUUAGCACUGAGAAGAGUAAAGUACAGGCAUUAGUACAGUAAACCGGAGCAACAUAUAAAGUAAGUAUACUGCACUUACCCAGGGACGGUCUUGAGUGGAGGCAUCUGUGUGGUCAAUGAAUCGCCAGAGGAUGAAUUGGAAGCUCCCUGAUAAUUUGAAUCAGACGAAUUAAGAGGAUAUCGAAAGCAACCCGCCUUGGGAUAAGAUGUAUUGGAAGUACAAGAGACCUCUGGUCGGCGUUUGCGAAUCGGAGUAUCCGGUAAACCAGAGGAUGUAACCUGUUGACCACUGUGACGAGUUGUGCGACGAGCCUCAUGUUGAUGUGUCUUCAAAGAAAAGUGCGGAUCCAAAUGAGCAAGAGGAUGUGAAUGUUUUACUUUCCGGACUGCGCGAUGGAGUUUCUGUACCGGCACAUGAUCUGAAUCAGAGGAAAGGGAAAUUACCUCUACAUGGUCAGCACGACUUGCCUCCACAUCAUCCCGAUAAUGAUUAUUGUCAAUAAGGUGCAUGAAAAGUGAACCAAGUGAAUCAAUUUCUACCUCCGUGUCUGAGUCAUCAACAUCUUCGGCCGGAUCAGAGGAUUCGGCGGUUCUCUUCUUAGCAGACUUCUUGGUAACCUUGGACUUAGCCUGAGGCGCUCUCACCGGUUUGUCUUGAGCUUUGGCCGGUUUGACCAGCGUUUUCCUCUUCCAAAAUGGAUCAUUGCUCUGCAAAGGUAAACAGAAGGGCUGUCAGAAAGUGUCAAAAAGGGCGGAGUAAAAUAGGAAAAAUGCAAUUCUUACAGCUGGCGGUUUAUGGAGAGCACAUAAUGGACGCAGCCCAGUUUUGCUGCAUUCAGCUACCAGUUCAUCCAGCAUCCGCUUGACAAAUUCAGUAAUCACGUCAUCAGUCAAUUGAAUGUCAAUAUAAUGUUGAGCAUCUUUCACAUCUCCUGUAUACUCGCACAUUAAACCGGAACGACGACUUAAAGGCAAGAUACUCCAUGAGACCCAGCAACGGACAAGAUCGAUACCGGUCAAACCGUUUGCCAUAAAAGCCCGGACCUUAGAGAUCUGUGUGGCAUAUUUCAUUCGCUCCUUAGCAGUCAGACAUUGAGGCAGUGGAUGUUCAUUACUAAGCCGGUGAGCACAAUAACCCGGCAGAGGGUUUUCAUCUUCAGGGGCAAUGUUCCGGCAGUAAAACCAGGUUUGGUUCCAAUCCUUGGGGUGGCUAUGAUGUUUGGCAUGAGGAAAACUAACUUCUUUCCUCUUCUGUAUUGACACCCCGCCAAGUUCAGUAUUGGGGCCAUCGAUGAAUUCAGUAUCGCGGUUCAAGUGAAAGAAACCUCUAAAUAGCUCAACGGUUGGUUCCUCUUGCAGAUAAACCUCACAAAACAGUUGAAAGUUGCAAAGGUUGGACAUAGAGUUUGGUCCAAUGUCUUGAGGGUGGAGUUGAAGGCUGGCAAGUACAUCACAGAAAUUUUUUGAUCCAGGAGGGCUAAACCCCUGGUCCAGAUGAUGUACAGACACAAUCACCUCUCUGUCUUGAGGUUCAGGAGGACAUUCAGUACCUGGGACACUCCAAUGAAUAAUUUCCUCUUUUGCUAAAUUGCCAGUCACAACGUACUCAGUCAGUUGUUCUUUAGUGACCCGGGAACGGACCCAAUUGCAAGUAGAGAACUGCUUGGCCAUUGUUGAUGACAACUGUAAAAGAAGUUCAAAAUGCCGGUUCACGGUUCAAUAUUGAUAUGUAUAAACUGGGGUCAAACCGGAGGAUUUAGUCAGAGCAUAUGUGCACGUCAAACCGAAUUCUUAUGUUUAGGUUAAGUUGGCGGUUUAAGUGAGGGCUAAUGGUGCCUGGCGGAUUGUCAUUUUCUAAAGGUUAAACCGCCUAUAGUGGAGGAAGUAGAUCCGAACAUUUCACUAAGUACUGUAGAAACAUGUUUCACAGGAUGGUGUUAUAAUUUUGGAUCUACUGCGGUUCAGUAAACAAAAAUUUCUGAACCCUAGAAUGGAGACAUCAGAACAGCGAAGAUCUAGAUGGGAUUUAUCCAGGAACGAAGAGAUACUAUGGUGAAGCAAACUAAAGCUACAGCUUCGGCCGCAAAAGGAGGAUAUCAAGUUUAUAUAGAUUCGAUGAUACAAUAAGGGCAAAGAGACGAACGAGGAUGAACACUGAUGAACACGGACGAACACCAAAAUCCUAAUACAGAUCUGAUAAGUUGGGAACAGGAGAACUUACUGGGGCUGCGGGGCAGCGGAAGAGCGUCGCAGUGUUUCUGGUCAAGAACAGGUUGAUGCAGUGGCCUUGUUGGUGCAGAUGCAAAAGUCGACGGCGCCGGUGAUGCUUGAGCUCUUCGGAGUCGCGAGGAAGAAGAAGAGGCAAGGGGGAAAAAGGAAAGGACCCCUGGGCCUAUUUAUAAGGCGAAUGGAUAAGUAAGGCAAGCGCAUGAAUCGAGGAGCCCGAAAAUGAAUGGGGCACAACUGUUGCCUCGAUCUUCGGAGAUCAAUUAAUAAAAAGAAAUCUUUAUGAGUUUUUUACGCAGAUGACGUCACAUCGGUUUAAUGUGAUUCCCGAAGAUGACGUCACGACAGUUUACAAGGACAACAUGGAGAUGUUCAAAUCAGAGUUUCUUUAAGUGGAAGAUUGACAUGAACAAGUUCAAAUCAAUCUGGGGCCUAAUGUUGGGGAUAUGACUACUGAGUUAAACCGCCCAGGAAAGGGCCGGAUUAACUCACAAGGAUUCCUGUACAAGAGCCCAUGAAGAUGAAGGCUAUGGCGCUUUAACCAUGAAGACUUAGAGUCCCAGAGCCCGAUGGCGGAUUAGGGCCCAUAAUGGUAAACCACCAUAGAUGUGUAACUUCUGUUGUAAGUCAAGGAAAGGAGAAACCGAGCUGGACACUUGUAUGAGCCGGCCUCGGGAUUAUGUAAACCGGCCGAGCGUCAACCUGUGUAUAUAAAGGGACGACCAGGCGGCGGUUCAGGGACAAGAAACAACAACUAUAAAGCCAGGCAUAGCGUGUUUGCUCCCUGGUAACCGAGACCACAUCAAAAACACCCCAACUGGAUCGUAGGCUUUUACCUUCACCGCAAGGGGCCGAACCAGGAUAAACUCCCCGUGUCCUUUGUCCGGUUUAACCCCAUUAAGCUAACCCGUCGCGAUGGCUCCACGACUAAGUCCUUUCACUAGGACAUCUGACAUGAUAAUUCCACGACAACCCCCAUGGCGGUUCACUCAUGGGCCACUUCAGGCAGCCCAUGUCGCAUACAAGGAUUAUUCCACAAGACUUGGUGAUCAAGACAAGGACUCCUAUCCACCAACGUAUUCGGCUAGGACUCUUGUUAUCCUAGGCCUCUGGUGCAUUAUAUAAGCCAAGGCUAGGCUAGUCGAUAGAUCAUUAUGAAAAUCAUACAAGCUAGACUUCUAGGGUUUAGCCAUUACAAUCUUGUGGUAGAUCAACUCUUGUAAUACUCAUAUUCAUCAAGAUCAAUCAAGCAGGAAGUAGGGUAUUACCUCCAUAGAGAGGACCCGAACCUGGGUAAACAUCGUGUCCCCUGUUUACUGUUACCAUCGACAUUAGACGCACAGUUCGGGACCCCCUACCUGAGAUCCACCGGUUUUGACACCGACAUUGGUGCUUUCAUUGAGAGUUCCAUUGUGUGAUCGGUAAAGGAUCGAUGGCUCGUCUGCAGAUUAACUGCGACGUCAGCAUCUUUGUCAUCAGCUCGACUGGUCAACUCGGCUUGACCGAGGACUGUGCCCUACCUCCGAUAGUCAUGUUCGAACGAGUGCCUUCAUUAACAUCAACUCCGAUCUCGAUCAUGAUCAUGGAGGAAUUAUCCUUGGAGCUCGGGGGCUCAACGUCAACACUGCCCUCAGGCGACCGAGCUAUUUUCCCGGAGAACAAACUUGUAUCCCCUGCCACCACCUCCUCGAGCAUCGCUUUGAUGAUUCCUUCGAUGGAAUUGUGUGGAAUUAUGUCUAUAACAACCAUGCAAAAUUUCGCGAGUUCCGAUGGAGGAAUCUCCGGCAAUCUACGAUAUACCAGAGCCUUGUCAAAUUUGGACAAGAAUCUGGACGAUUUUAGGGCGUGGUCUCCAGAUCCAAGCUCGCUCGGAGGUCCUUUGGAAGAUCCAACCGUUCCUCCGCUGCGGAAUUCUCAUAUCUACCACCCCUCAAACUUUCAGCUCGAUCUGACGGUUGAAACUCCAGGAACGUUCCGAUGAGUGGACCAAUUUUCUCAUGUUUUUUCUUCGCGAGAACAAAUCCGAGCCUAGUUCAUCUUUUUUAUGAACGGGAUUUCGGACAUCCUUUUUGAAGGAAGUUCUGUAUGGGGUAUUGUGUUUUGUUCCCAAACACAUCCCACAAAUUUUAAAGUCUUUCCCAAUAUGGUCUUCAAUGCACCGGUGUCAAACCAGCCUGACAACGUUACUCCACGGCUGCCGACCUGCGUUAAACAAGUCGUCCCUUUGUUGAGCCGAUCUCAACUUCUUCGGAUCAUCAUCUCAGCAAGCCGGACAAGUGUUCGGCACCGUGAAGGAUAGAUCACCACCAACAUCGCCGCCCCACGGAUCAUACGGAGCGGGCACACCGGCAUCGCCGCACGGUCACUUCAUCGAGCUGGCAUUUACCGCGUCAUAAGUUAUGACCUGCACCGUCAUGUGGCGGCAUUGUUGGUUCUUCAAGCCGAUGUCCAUCACGCUGAACUGCUUCAAUACCUCGGCUGACACGGCAGCUGCAAUGUCUCCUUACCGACCUGCUCCGUCACCUCGGCUAGACCGGGGGCUUCGCCAUCCCUUCUUCAACCUACUUCGGAGACUUCGGCGUCGUCAACCGACUAGCUUAGUCACGUUAUCUAGACCGGGGCUUUGCCUCGGUGAGCCAACCCUUACCAGCAUCACCAUGCCGUCACUUCACCGCCAUUAGGCAAUGGGUGUGCGGAUCAAUUCUCAAUUUUGGGAGUCACUUUUCUUCGGACUGCUACAACAAAUAAACCAGGUGCUAUUAAUCCUAGCAAUUUUUGCUUAUUUGGGUUUUAUUUUUCUCAAGAAAUUAUUAUUCUGCUUCGUUCCAUCAUCUGUACACAGGCCUAUCAAAUGGCAGCCACAUUAACAACGGUCGCGUGGUGGUUCGGUCAGUUUCCGUACAUAGUUUGGCGAACGCCGCAUCCGGAACUCGGACUGACCUUUGAAUUCAGGCUUUGCCACGCCUUUACCACAUCACGUUGUUGUCUGGCAUCGACAUUGACUUCGGCGCUAUGACACAUAUUUUUAAAUAAAUUAUCUUGCGUAAAUUAAUUACGCGAGGAUUUUUAUAUUAUUAUUGUCGGCCUGCACUAUUUUACUUGUACAUGUAAUCGACUUCGACUGCGUCACUUGGUCACUUUGACAAGCCGACGCCGUCGUCCCAAUCGGCUUAAAUCAGCUCGCGUGAUUACCUUGUUUGUCGAAUUGCCAUACCGACAUGCUCGGUCGCUUUGGGGACUUCGGCAUCGCUGAGAGAGCCCUACCUCAUCGACUGUUCCACACACGAGCCAUAUUUCUUUUAUUACUCACUUUGCAUAAAUUAUUAAUUAAUUAUUUAUUUAUUAUUACUACUAUUAUCUCCGGUUUGCACUAUUUUCUGUGCACACGUAAAUGAUUCGGGUCGGGCAGUGUUAUCUCCUCGGCGUACUGACAUAGCACGUCACCUCGGCUGGACUGGGGGUUUCGUCAUUGAGGGAGUCCUAGAUUAGGGGGUAUUCGGACAGCCGGACUAUAUACUUUGGCCGGACUGUUGGACUAUGAAGAUACAAGAUUGAAGACUUUGUCCCGUGUCCGGAUGGGACUCUCCUUUGCGUGGAAGGCAAGCUUGGCGAUUCAGAUGUUAGAUCUCAUUCUCUGUAACCGACUUUGUGUAACCCUAGCCUCCUCCGGUGUCUAUAUAAACCGGAGUGUUUUAGUCUGUAGGACAAGAACAAUCAUAAUCAUAGGCUAGCUUCUAGGGUUUAGCCUCUACGAUCUCGUGGUAGGUCAACUCUUGUAUUACCUCCAUCGAGAGGGCCCAAACUUGGGUAAACAUCGUGUCCCCAGCCUCCUGUUACCAUUGUCCUUAGACGCAUAGUUUGGGACCCCCUACCCGAGAUCCGCCGGUUUUGACACUGACAUUGGUGCUUUCAUUGAGAGUUCCUCUGUGUCGUCGCUGUAAGGCUCGAUGGCUCCUUCAAUCAUCAACAAGGACGCGGUCUAGGGUGAGAUUUUUCUUCCCGGACAAAUCUUCGUGUUCAGCGGCUUCGAACUACGGGCCAAUUCACUUGGCCAUCUGGAGCAGAUCGACAGCUAUGCCCCUGGCCAUCAGGUCAGGUUCGGAAACUUGAAUUACACGACCGACAUCCGCGGAGACUUGAUCUUUGACGGAUUCGGGCCUACUCCAGGAGCGCCGGACGGUCACGACGGGAACGACUUAGACCGGUUGUCGGACGGUAUUCGGGAUAACGCACCUGCAGCGGCUCUGGACCUAAAUCCAAGGCAGAUCGCGUCGUCCGAGGACGGGUGGAUGGACCCCGCCACGGAGGCCGCAUACUCAUCGGCGGUAGAGCCGAACACAGACUCCACCUCUAAGGAAAUCUGUGUCACCGGACCCCAGGACGUGUCUCCGGCCUCAGGUUCCAGAUCGCGUGCAUCCGGGCCUAUCGAAUUUGAUUGGGCUCCGAUAAUGGAGUUCACCACCACGGAUAUCUUUCAGCACUCGCCCUUGGGCGAUUUGCUGAAUUCAUUAAGGUCUCUCUCUUUGUCAGGAGACUCUUGGCCGAACUAUGUCCGGCUCGAGUGGGAAGCAGAUGACGAAGAAAUUCGUCACCCACCCACCACCCACUUCAUUGCCACUGUCGAUGAUUUAACCGACGUGCUCGACUUCGACUCCGAAGACAUCAACGAUAUGGACGACGAUGCAGGAGAAGAACGGGAACCACCGCCCACAGGGCGCUGGACAGCCACCUCCUCAUAGUAUACAUAUAUAUGGUGGACACACCCAAAGAAAACAAUGGCGAUGAGGCAACAGAGGAUAACCCCUUAGGAAAGCAAUCAAAGCAUGGGCAUCACCGAUGCCGCUCUAAGCCCCGCCACAGCAACACCGGCACAGGAGACGAAAACAAUCCGGAUGGUGCCGAAGAUUAAUAUAAUCCCAAUCAACCUACCUUCGAGCAGACCGAACAGGAGGACGGGAAAGCUAGCCCAGAUGAACAGGCGAUGGACGGAGACUUGGAGGAUGACAAUUAUAUGCCUCUCUGCGAAGAUGGGGUGAGCCUAGGCGAUGAUGAAUUCGGCGUGCCUGAGGAUCCCGUAGAGCAGGAGCGCUUCAAGCGCCGGCUUAUAGCCACUGCAAGAAGCCUGAAGAAGAAGCAGCAGCAGCUCCAAGUUGAUCAAGAUCUGCUCACAGACAGAUGGAAUGAGGUCCUGGCAGCCGAGGAAAACGGACUCGAGCGCCCCACCAAAGGUUACCCAAAGCACAAGUUGCUACCUCAACUCGAGGAGGAGGCCAUAGAGCCUACACUACUAGCACAGGACGAGGCUGACCAGCCACCUCGUGGCCGAGACAAAGGGGUGUAUUAGCCCGAAUACCAACCCGCACCCCGACGCCCAUAUACUAUGGCCCGGGGCAAUACACAGGACCUGCGACAUAUUGGAAAACAAUGCAGGACAACCAAGAUCGAUCUACGGAUCGCGGGGGCGCGUCACAUCACAUGACGAUGAUCGUCAUGCCGGAUACACUAACAAUAAGUUCGACCGGGCCGAACAUAACCGACCAGACUUAGUUGGACUGCGUCGUGACAUAGCCCGGCAUAGAGGCGCCGCACACCCCCUCUGCUUCACUGAUGAAGUAUUGGAUCAUGAAUUCCCAGAAGGGUUCAAACCCGUAAACAUCGAAUCAUACGAUGGCACAACAGAACCCGCGGUAUGGAUCGAAGAUUUCCUUCUCCACAUUCACAUGGACCGCGGUGAUGAUCUACAUGCCAUCAAGUAUCUUCCCCUUAAGCUUAAAGGACCAGCCCGACACUGGCUGAAUAGCCUGCCGGCGAACUCCAUCGACAAUUGGGAAAAUUUGGAUGACGCGUUCCUCGACAACUUCCAAGGGACCUACGUGCGACCACCACAUGCUGAUGACUUAAGUCACAUUACCCAACAGCCCGAAGAGUCAGCCAGGAAAUUCUGGACUCGGUUCCUAACUAAAAAGAACAAAAUUAACGACUGUACGGAUGCCGUAGCCGGCCUUUAAGAAUAAUAUCCGUGACGAGUGUCUUGCCCGACACCUCGGCUAAGAAAAACAGAAAUCCAUGGCGGCCCUCACGACACUCAUGACCCGCUUUUGCGCGGGCGAGGACAGCUGGCUGGCUCGCAGUAGCACCACGCCAAGAGACUCUGGCACCUCAGAUGUCCGCGAUAGUAACGGCAAGCCUCGGCACAACAUACAUAAGCGUCGGAACUAUGGCGACAACACCGAAGACACGACAGUCAAUGCCGGAUUCAGUAGCUCCAAAUCCGGUUAGCGGAAAAAGCCGUUCAAAAGAAACAAUCCGGGAUUGUCUAGUCUGGACCGCAUACUCGACCGCUUGUGCUAAAUUCACGACACCCAUGAUAAACCAGCUAACCAUACUAACAGAGAUUGCUGGGUGUUCAAACAGGCCGGCAAGUUGAAUGCCGAGAACAAGGACAAGGGGCUGCACAGCGACGACAACGAGGAGCCCCAACGGCCGAACACAGGGGGACAGAAGAAAUUUCCUCCCCGAGUGAAAACGGUGAAUAUGAUCUAUACCACCCACAUCCCCAAGUGGGAAUGAAAGCGUGCACUAAGGUACGUUUACACGAUGGACCCGGUCGUCCCAAAGUUCAACCCAUGUUCAUCCUAUCCGAUCACUUUCGAUCGCAGGGACCACCCUACCAGUAUCCAUCAUGGCCUGAACCUGCUUUACCAGGACACAGUGUGCAAAAUGGGCAUUGAUCCCUCAAGGAUCAAACCCACCAAAACUACCUUUAAAGGUGUAAUUCCAGGCGUAGAGGCCUAUUGUACGGGCUCAAUAACACUGGAAGUGGUCUUCGGAUCUCCAGAUAACUUCCGAAGGGAGGAGUUAAUCUUUGAUAUCGUCCCUUUACGUAGUGGCUAUCAUGCACUGCUUGGACGAACCGCAUUUGCUCGAUUCAGUGUGGUACCACACUACGCAUACCUCAAGAUGAAGAUGCCAGGACCUCGAGGGGUCAUAACAGUCAAUGGAAACACAGACCGCUCUCUCUGUACGGAAGAGCACACUGCGGCCCUUGCGGCAGAAGUACAAAGCAGCCUUCUUCGGCAGACCGCCAAUUCGGCGAUGACAACCCCGAACACCAUCAAGCGAGUCCUGAGUACUCUGCAACAGGAUCGGCAGGCACGCCAAGAGCUCAACUAGCAAUCUGGCCUCCAUCCAAGUCCCAUUCAGGCCGCAUUUGUGUCGCGCGUACACAAUUACGGACUCAAAAUACCACGGGCAUAGGCGGAGGCGCGAUGAUGAUGCGGUCCACAAUGCGGCUCAACCGCCACGAGACCCGCAUACCUCUAUAACCUUCUUUCUUUUUCAGGACCCUACUUUCGGGCAGCCCCUUCAGAGAGCCUAAUCAUCGGACUCGUCAUAGGAGGGACAACCAAGGGGGCAAGAGGCUUUGCACACAAGGGAAUACUUAGGUGGUCUUUGUUAACGAUCAUUAUGCCUGUUUUACAUACCCACAUGCAGCCUGCCCUUGGAUAGGACAUGUCAAAUAGUACUAUUUUUGCUUGUCGCAUUAACUUGUACACAUACGCUUUGACAUAUUAUUUAAAUAACAACGGGAAACAAUAUACAGCGUCAACUUAUUAUUACUAUUUUCAUAUUUUCCCUGGACUGUUUAUUUAAUAUUGCAUCCCUACACUCUGGUACGUUCAGUUUGCUAGGGGCUUUUUAUUGUGCCCCAUAACACGGCAAGAAAAGUCCGAACACUUUUGAUAUUGCGGCACCCCGAACUUAUAGCAUUAUAUGCAUCUGCCCCGAAUCAUGUAUUGGGUCAAUAGUUGGGUUUGGCGGGCUCCCUUGUUUUGGUACCUUACGUUCCGUUAUAUCGGCUAAGGUAGUGCAGGGAGAACUACUGCGAUUGUGUCCCAGUUCUUCCGGACGAGCAUCUCAGUAGAGAAAGCGGAAAACUGACUGUCAUGAUGCGGUGAGAGUUGGUCGCUGUUCGAGAGGUAUUAAAUCCUUAAAGAUUUUUUCCUCUUCAGGCGAGGAAUCGGCCUUGUCCGGUUUAUGCAUGUAUAGCGCCCCAAUUCGGCUUUCCGAAUACUAGGGGCUUCACCAAAAUUUAAAAUUGUAGACUUCUAUGGCUAAGUGAGAGUUAUAAAGCCGCAUAGUCCGAUUGCCUUGUUCACUGUGCUAAACACCUCCUUAAAGGACCAAGAAUUUGUAUACAGAGUGUUUGGGUUUUCCACAAACACCCCAGUACUAGUUACACGGGGGCGGAAGCUGACGACUUGCCUACUUUCAGAAUUUUAUAAACAGCCGCACAGAAGGUAAUAUUUCAAAUCAACAAAGCGUCAUAUAGCGCAAACGAACUCGUUUUCAUAUUACAAAGAUGACAUGAGUACAUUCACUCAACGAUUAUGUCCUUGGUACAUUCAUUGGCCACAAGGCAAGCGCCUUUUAUAACGCCAUCAUAAUAUUUCUCGGGGUAGCGAUGCGCCUUACCCUCCGGGGGUCCAUCCUUCACCAGCUUCUCUGCAUCCAGUUUGGCCCAAUGCAUCUUUGCACGGGCAAAUGCCCGGCAGGCACCUUCAAUACAAACGGAUUGCUUGAUAACUUCAAGCCACGGACAAGCAUUUACCAUCCGCUUUACAAGGCCGAAGUAACUGUCGGGCAGGGGCUCGUCAGGCCACAUCCAGACUAUGAGGUCCUUUAUGGCCAGUUCGGCCGCCUUGUGGAGUUCAACCAAUUGCUUCUGUUGGUUACUUAGAGGCAUUGGGUGUUCGGCUCCAGUAUACUGGGACCAGAACAGCUUCUCCAUCGAGAUCCCCUCUUCGGCACGGUAGAACUCCGUGGCAUUCGAUAUGCUGCGUGGUAGAUCUGCGAAUGCCCAGGGAGAGCUCCGAAUUCGAUUAAGUAAAAGAAAUGUCUCCUCCACAUGCUUGCUUCGCAUAUUGAAGGCCUUACCCGCCGCUAUCUUCUUGGCCGUCUGGAUUUCCUAGAGGGCCUUUUGGGCUUCGGCCUUGGCGUGUUCCGCGCUCUGGAGGGCCUUGGCAAGCUCAGACUCUUGCGUCUUGAAGUCAUGCUCCAAGGACUCGAACUUCUGGCCGAACUCCUGGAGCUCUUGCUGUACCUCACUCACCCGAGAAUCUUGCUUUUCACGCUCAGUACGGUCCGUGGCUGCUUUAUCUUUGGCCUCGGAUAGCUCUUUCUUCAGGGCCGCCACUUCGGUCAUGGCCCCUAUUAAAAAUCAUGAUGCUUUUUGUUAGCGUCACCAAUUUUUUCCUCUAUAUGACACACGGACGGGGUAUCACUUACUUCGUUCUCUUCGAGUUGCCUCUUCAUGAGGCUGAGCUCUUCUUCGGCCUGCUUCAGGUCCCGUUUGAGUCCGGCGACCUCCGCAGUACGGGCGGUAGCGGCCAGCAGCAACACCUGCUUACUCACAUAGACAUUCAUUGUUAGACUCCUGCGGAUUAAAAAUUGACCCUCCGUUUGGCUUUUCUUUCCGAACACCAAACAGAGUAUCAGGGGCUACUGUCUAUUAGGUGAUAUUUUCUCACACCUUUCAUCACUUACCUCAAAGCCUGUUAGGAGGCUGGUGCAGGCUUCUGUCAAUCCGCUUUUGGCGGACCGAACAUUCUCAAUCACCAUACUCAUAAGAGUAUGGUGCUCUUCGUCAAUGGAAGCAUCGCGAAGCACUUCCAACAAAUUAUCUGAUGCCUCCAGCUGGAUGGAGGUCAUCGGCACGGCCGGCUCGCCCUCCUUAGAGAGGGGCUACCUACUUGAAUCCGAAACCUUUGGAGGCUCCGGCGCAGUAACUGUCUGGGAGCCAGACUUGUUGUGGCUCCCGUCCGCAUAAUCCAUGGGGAUCUUACCCCCCACAUGCCCGGUGGCUGGGAUUUCGCCUUGGGGCGUCUCUAGAACCGCCAUCCCCUAUUCUGGUAUCCUUUGGGACAACACCUCGGUGUCAUCCGCGGGCCAAGGGGAGGUGGCCGUUGGGAGUGAAUUCAUCUCCGACUCGCUCAGGGACCCGUCCGAAGACGAUACCUCGAGGCGGGACCCAGUCGGACUACAUAUGCGUGUUCGGCAUUGUCACAAACCAUGAAAUUAAGAUGCAUGAAAAAUACUAUAGAGUGUGGAUACUUACUAUCUCGCCAGGGGCUUGCCCCUGGGCAACCACUCCUCCUCGCUGUAGGCGGCCGCGGUGGAGUGAUCCGGAAGGGAUGCCUUUCCCUUCUUCGGUGUCCUGGCCUCCCCGUAUGGGGUGGCUUUCCUCUUCUUCUCCUCCCCAAUGCGGGGAGGGGGAAUUUAUUCAGGUUUCCCCCCAUCUCCGUGGGAGGAAUUUGCCUCGGCGUACUCGGACGACGAGUCUAUUACAGCCUUCACCGGAGACCUUUCCUGGUCCCUGCGGCCGCUUUCUUGGACCUUUCGGCCUCCUCAGAUGGGGCGGCCUUCCUCUUCCUCUCCUUCCCUUCAUGGGAGGACUGUGCCUCAUCGUCUUCAGAUAAGGCAUCCGGCGCAACCUUGUGCCGAAGACCCUUCCUGGUCCCCGUGGUCUUCUUUUCGGCCUUAUUAUCCGGCACCUUGUAAGGCGCCAGAACCAGCAUCUCCGUGAGGAGUGCGGUUGCUAGAUCUUCCGGCAGCGGAGCCGGGCAGUCGAUCCGCUGCGCUGUCGCCACAUAAUCCUGUUUUGAUAAGCAUGGUGACUUAAAAUCCUCCCACGAGUUUUCUGGGAAAGGUACAUCUUGUGAUGUUCGGAGAACUUACUGGAUUGGCGAGGCACGUGGCGCUGAGUCCGCGGUCCUCGGAAGCGGGAGGAGGUACUUCGGCGGCCUUGAACAGCACCUUCUAGACGUCUUUAUGCGUCGUGUCGAAGAGCUCUCGCAGCGUUUGGUGUUCGGCUGGAUCAAACUCCCAUAUAUUGAACGCCCGUCUUUGACACGGGAGGAUCCGGCGAAAGAACAUGACCUGGACCACGUUGACAAGCUUGAUCUUCUUGUCUGUCAGGACCCCGAUCCUAAGUCACACCGAUCUGGCAUGUAACACAUCAUAUCACUCUGCGGCCUCACGCACGGUAUUCCCACGGGUGCCACCUUACCUGGCCCGGGACCGUUUGCACCUUUUGGCUCACAUAUAUGAUAGUGCCGCUAGCAUCCAUAUGACAAAGAACCCGGGCUGACAUGGCUAGUCGUGAACCCAAAGUGGCACUAACUUACAGGGACAUGCAUACAUGACCCAGCAACGAACGUGUCGGUCAUCAGCGAGUGAAUCUGGGCUGUAGCAACUGGGCUAGCAGGACUCCGGUAAACCAGGCUGUAGCAGGCUAACAGGACUCCGGUAGACACCGCGUGACAUUUCCCCGAAGGGAUAGACACAGGAAUGAAGAAGGACACAUGCCGGCCAGCCUAAGUGUUCCGGAGCAGUAUAAAGCUACCAAGGCUCAGUGGAAGCACUAGGAGACAUUUCCCGGUAAGAGAGGCUACCAAGGAUGAACAACUAGAUAGUCAGAUCCCACACAGACCAAGCAUUUCAAUAACAUACACACAAUAUGCUCGAUAUGUGCAAAUACAACAUGGCAUCACAACAUGACUCUACAACUCAAGUAUUUUUCAAUAGGCUCCGAGGAGCGAGAUAUUACAAUCAUGGGUCGCAUGACCCAACAUUCAGAGCAUACAAGUCAAAGCACAUGCGGAAGCUUAACAUGUCUGAGUACGGACAUCUACAAAAGAAAAAGGCUGAGAAGCCUGACUAUCUACUAGAUCCUGCCGAGGGCACAAGAUCGUAGCUGAGGUAACAAGCUAAACGUCAAAGUCCACAUGGAACUACUAGCGAGACUGAAGUCUCUCUGCAAAAACAUAAAUUAAGCAACGUGAGUACAAAUGUAACCAGCAAGACUUACAUCAGAACUAACUACAUAUGCAUCAUUAUCAACAAAGGGGCGUGGGGUUUAACUGCAGCAAGCCAGCUUUGACUCGAUGGCUAUCCUGAAUUAUGACUGUAAGUAUCUCUUUUGAGGUGACGCACACGAGUCCACAUAUUCACCAUAUCAAUACACCACUAUGGAUCCGCUCCCGUCUCCCUAUGAGAACGCCAUCCAUAGCACUCACGUAUAUCUUGCGUAUUUUAGAGUAUCCACUUUCACUUGUCUAUGAACUGUAUAGGCAACCCAAAAGUCCUUUGCCGCGGAAACGACUAUUCGAAUAGAUCAUAUUAACCCUGCAGGGGUGUACUUCUUCACACACGCUCUCACCACUUACCGCCGUUUACACGACAUGUACUCGGCAACCUUCAAGCGGAAGCCCAGCGAGGGUGUCGGCCACGACCUGACUAACCACACAAGUCUCUCAUCCAGGUUUAUCGCCUAUUCGGGUUCCAUCCGCAAGGAGAUCCGGCCGGGGUGUCGCUCACGGCCCCAAACGAUGUGUGCAGGGUUCCCAAGCCCACCAUCCGGGUGCCACUUGGUACACCGGGCCACUGUGCCUAGUCUGUCCCAAGCCCACCUGUACCGGGUGCCACUUGGUAGACUACUAGCACUACCUACAAACACCAGAAACUAGCUGCAACUCUUGGACACAGAUCGAGUUGAUUAAUAAGUCGAGAGAGUCAAUUAAGGAUCCCAAUGUGUGGUAGUAGCUGUUAAUGGAUCACAAACACAGAACUCAGUUCCUGAGGACGGCUGCAAUGAGACAACCCACCAUGUACUCCUACACGGCCUCUC
rnacentral:lncRNA from 1 species